CGCAAUGGGCGAAAGCCUGACGGAGCAACGCCGCGUGAGGGACGAAGGCCUCUGGGCUGUAAACCUCUUUUCUCAAGGAAGAAGAUAUGACGGUACUUGAGGAAUAAGCCACGGCUAAUUCCGUGCCAGCAGCCGCGGUAAUACGGGAGUGGCAAGCGUUAUCCGGAAUUAUUGGGCGUAAAGCGUCCGCAGGCGGCCUUUCAAGUCUGCUGUUAAAGCGUGGAGCUUGACUCCAUUAUGGCAGUGGAAACUGAUCGGCUUGAGUAUGGUAGGGGCAGAGGGAAUUCCCGGUGUAGCGGUGAAAUGCGUAGAUAUCGGGAAGAACACCUGUGGCGAAAGCGACUAACUGGCUCAUAUCUGACGCUAAGACGCGAAAGCGUGGGUAGCAAACAGGAUUAGAUACCCUGGUAGUCCACGCUGU
rnacentral:rRNA from 1 species